AUUGAACGCUGGCGGCAGGCCUAACACAUGCAAGUCGAGCGGAUGAAGAGAGCUUGCUCUCUGAUUUAGCGGCGGACGGGUGAGUAAUGCCUAGGAAUCUGCCUGGUAGUGGGGGAUAACGUCCGGAAACGGGCGCUAAUACCGCAUACGUCCUACGGGAGAAAGCAGGGGACCUUCGGGCCUUGCGCUAUCAGAUGAGCCUAGGUCGGAUUAGCUAGUUGGUGAGGUAAUGGCUCACCAAGGCUACGAUCCGUAACUGGUCUGAGAGGAUGAUCAGUCACACUGGAACUGAGACACGGUCCAGACUCCUACGGGAGGCAGCAGUGGGGAAUAUUGGACAAUGGGCGAAAGCCUGAUCCAGCCAUGCCGCGUGUGUGAAGAAGGUCUUCGGAUUGUAAAGCACUUUCGGUGGGGAGGAAAUGCUCAAGGUUAAUACCCUUGAGAGUUGACGUUACCCGCAUAAGAAGCACCGGCUAACUCUGUGCCAGCCGCCGCCGUAAAAC
rnacentral:rRNA from 1 species